CAAAAACAUGUCCUUUUGAAUUUAAUUGAAGGUCUGACCUGCCCAGUGAUUAAUUUAACGGCCGCGGUAUAUUGACCGUGCAAAGGUAGCAUAAUCAUUAGUCUUUUAAUAGAGGGCUGGAAUGAAUGGUUUGACGAAGAAUUGACUGUCUCAUUUUAUUUGUUUUAAAAUUUAAUUUUUUAGUUAAAAAGCUAAAAUAAUAUUGGAAGACGAGAAGACCCUAUAGAUCUUUAUACAUUUUGUUUUAUUUACUUAUAUAAAUUUAUUUAAUUUAAAAUGUAUUUUGUUGGGGUGACAAAAAUAUAUGCUCAACUUUUUUAUUUAUAUAACAUUGAUUUAUGAUUAGACGAUCCAUUAUUAUUGAUUAAUAGAUUAAGUUACCUUAUGGAUAACACCGUAAUCCCCUUCCACAGUUCAUAUUUACAAGAGGGCUUGCGACCUCGAUGUUUUAUUAACACAAGACCUAUGUGCAGCCCCUUGGUUUAU
rnacentral:rRNA from 1 species